GAGUUUUCUAGACAAGUUUAAGCCAUUUCAUACCUGGCCAGACUAAUGUAGGUGGGUAGCAAUUUUACACUCCAAAACUUAUGCCAAUUUCUUCAUGUCUGCAAGACCUUACAUACUAAGUAAAAUUAGCAAAACUCUACUUCCCUUCUGUCUCUGAUUUUUCAUGUUUCAGAGAGAUUAUGUACUUACAGUGCUAGGGAAGGUGUAUAAGGAAGGGUUACAUCUAUAGAGUGAUGCUUAUCUAUCAUUGUAUAUAGAUCCUUGACCAAAACAUCUGAUGUCAUCUUUUCUUUAUAUCUUUAGCAAAUGAAGUAGAAUGAAGGAAAUUGCAUUAAUGAAAACCAGCACAUGUUUAAAACGUCAUUCAAACACUAUGGUUUCAGUAUCUCAAAGAAAUGUGUGAGAAUGUUGCUGGAAAAAGAAAACAGCUUUACUAAAGAAGUUGGUUGCUGAAAAAGGAAAGAGCCACUGAACAAAAGAGGACACUUCAAGUUCCCAAAAGGAGGAAAAAGAAAGGAUAAGAUAUGACAAUAUAAUCAGCAGUCGUGAGUUCCUGCUCUUCCUCAGAACAAUUCCUCUGGCCAAGGAGUAGAGAAAAAACACAGAAAGCCCUAAAACCCAGGCCCAUAGACCCUCAAAGGCUCUUCGACCAGCCAUAUCGCCAUCCUACAGUCACAGAAUUACUUAGUCAGAAAAUCUGGCCAAGAUUCCAGAUGCCAACUCAAAUGCUUUCUCCACUAAAGAACAAAAGAGUGACAGAACUGUGUAAGUAUACUAGAAUUUUGUUGCCCUGAAUACGGUUUAAAAUAAGUAAAUUGGG
rnacentral:lncRNA from 1 species